GAAAUAAGCAAGUACUGAGAUGCAUAACUCACCGCUUCAAUAACAGCGUCGUAGAACAGCAUGUCAUCCUCACCGAAAGCAUUACAGGCAACACAGACAAUCAUACCUUCCUUGAGAGUACAGCAUUCACUAUCCUGCAGCUGCGGCGACACACACCGGAACCUCCCGACCAGUUCAUCGACUUCCUCCUUCGACUUAAAUUCUCCGGCGUCGAAAAUCGUGUCGACUUCCUCCGGAUAUCCCUCGUACUUCACAGUCAACCUUUGGCCUUUUAGCA
rnacentral:lncRNA from 1 species